UGUGAACCAUUAAAGGAGUGACAUUUGUGACUCUCAGCUUUCUAAGGUCAAUACAAGGAGAUUUGGGAUUGUUAUUGCUACAUAACAAUCAAGGUAACAUCUUAAACCUAUUCUCAUAUUAAUAUGAUUACUUGAAUGCUAGAAUUAGGGUUUAUAGUCUUGGAUAACUUGCAUGUACAAUAGAGAAACCUAGAUCCAANNNNNNNAUUCACUAUAAACAAUGCUCUGAUACCAAUCUGUCACACCCCAAAACCACGAACGGCGGAAACGUUCAGGGGUGGAGGACGUCAUGUACAGUAUCACAACAGUGUAAUAUAAUAAACAAGCAACAACACCAUCCAUUGCAUUAUAAGUAAAGUUUUAAUACAUGUGUGUUCUUUCAUUGUAGUAAGACACCAAAAAUAUACAAUCAAAAUAAAAGACGAGACUUGUCUGCUCCGUCUUCUCAAAACCUGGCCUCCGUACCUGUCUACUGAUGACCUGAGAAUACAAGUUAUUUUGAAAGCGAGUAUCAGCUUUAAAGCUGGUGAAUUCAUAAGUAUAUAAGUGUCAUUGCCUUGUUUGUGAAAAGCUGUUAUGAAGGCCAUGUAAAUCGUUAAAUGAAAAUGUUGAUGUAAGUAUGAAAAACCCUAGAAAAUCCCUUAUUUUCUAUCAGUUUGAGAUGUAGUCUUCUACCAAGACCCGAAUGUUUUGUAAGUAAAAAUGAUAGUUUUUCCUUCUAUUGACUAGUACUAAAGUACUUAGUCUACUCAUCGUUUAUGUGAAAAUAUCACAAAAUAAAGUAACAGGAAAAUGUACUACUGUAAGUGUCAUCCCGAGGUACUAGGGCUAACAUGCCAUCGCGUAAAGCGAAACAUAUAUCCUAUCACAAAAUAAGUAAAUUGGAAAAUGUACUAAGGUAAGUGUUAUCCUGAGGUACUGUGUGCUAACACGACAUAUGUAAAUGUUAUCUAGAGGUACUAGGAAUAACACGAAAUAUAUAACCGAAUGAACAUCCGAAGAUUGUUCAAUUAUCCUCUAUAGCUGCAGCAGGGGGGAGGAAGGGUUAGUCCCGUAAAGGUACUCCUACUAUAAGUAAUAACCGUAGGCAUCCGUAGAUGUUCAUUACCCAUUGGUGCUAACAGAUGGGUUCUGAAAUGGUUAGUCCCGUACGUAUAUCCCGAGGUACUGGGGGAUAGAGGCCCAUCUAGGUAUCCAGAGGUACUAGGGAUAGGGUCCUAUCUAAAUAUCCCGAGGUACUGGGGGAUAUGCAGGAAGAUUUACACAAAAGGUACUAAUAAAUCAUCCUCGCAAUUCGAGAUAUAAGUAUUCAUGUUAAUGUACACAGUUAAGUGUAUCUAUGUAAAGGUACUCAUGUAAGGUGUUCAUGUAUCAGGUAAACAUAUGUAAAGGUACUCAUGUAUCAGGUAAGGUACUAGUAUAGACUCAUGAAUGAACUGACUCUUGUGUGAUUCCUUGUAAUAGAAGUAAUGUUUGAUAUCUUCAAAUUAUCCCUAUGAUAAUCUACUAUAAUAUAACUGGAUGAUCAUGUAGGUUUAUACACUCUUACUACUCAAGGGUGUGGGAAACUAAAUGAAAGAUGUAAACUAUAACAUCAAUACAUAUAUAAGAAUAUAAGUGUAUAUGCAUAGUUUAGUUCAAGAAUGUAAAAAUAGUUUUGUAAGACCUCUUAUGGGUUUUGAACAACAAUUAACAAUGACUUGAUGUCAUUUUAAUAAACAUUUCAAAGGUAAAACAUUUGGUAACAAUGUGUUUUUAAGAUGUAAAACCAUUUCAUGCAUCACAUUUUGUAGCAUGUGAAAUUCGUUAAAUGACAAACAUAGUUAUAAAAUACAUAUCAAUGAUUCAAUAACAUGUUUGUUUCUACUUGUAUUCCCCCCCAUUAAAGCAUUUAAAAUCAUUUAAAAUAUUGAUUAGGGGUAUGAACUCACUUGAUUGAAGUGGUUGAUUUGAAGUAGUCGAGAGAAGAAUCGAGCAGAACUUCGACAGGAAGAGUUGAAAACGCGGGAAAUCUCGGGAUUCUCGGGAAUCUCGGGAAUACAAAACCUUCCUUCGGGACUUGAAGGUGAAAAUCGGGGCUUUGGGAGGGUCUCGGGGGCUUAAACGCAGAGUUUCGGCGCGAGAAAGAAAGGAACUGAGCAAUGGAACUCGGAGCCCUUGAAAUCUAUUUAUAGGGGCAUUUUUGGGGUGUGCCACAUCGUGGCAAGUGAUGGCCACGUCGUGGGGAGUCAAACCUAUCCUCUUCCAUUGAUUGGACGCCCUCAGUCACUUGCCGGGUCGCGGCAAGCUUGUGCCACGUCGUGGGGGCCUGACAGCCUCGGAUUUUGGACCCCGAACUUGUAAAAUCCAUAACUUUCGCGUACGAGCUCCGUUUUCGACGUUCUUUAUAUGCACGCGUAGCUAAAAAUAUGAUCUACAACUCUCGUUUAGACUUCAUCGGCAAAUUUUGACUUUAUUUUUAAUUAUUUAUUUUUAACGGGCCGGGACACGAAAAGUCCGUUAAAAUUCCAUAACUUCUUCAUCCGAUGUCCGUUUUCGUCAGACUUUUCGCCGUUGCGCUACUAAUGUUGAGACCUUAGAUUCUCAUUUAGGUUGUUUUGGUCAAAAGUAUCUCGAGCUCUAUUUCGAGUUUUUAGCUGUCUACUGCUAUACCCGAAUCUUGGAAAAAUCAUAACUUCCUCAUCCGAAGUCAGAUUUGGACGUUCUUUUUAUGUACGCUCACGGUUUGAGGUUAUCUAUAACUUUCAUUUAGAUACUUAAGGCUAAAAACUAUUGUAUUGAAACUUCGCGUUUUUCGUUUAAUCGGUGUUGCCGGUUUUGCCGAGAAUCUUCGGUUGGUCAUAACUUCUUCGUUAUAACUCGGAUUUUAGGGUUCUUUAUAUGUACGAAAACCUUGAUAUGAUUCCUACUACUUUAUUUAACCCAAAUAAGAUUUAGGAAAGUUAUAUUUUGACCUAAAUUUGAUUGGUUUUAUAUUACAUUGUCUCGAAAUAUCACGUUGUCACAUCAUCCCCCCGUUAGAGGGAAUUUCGUCUCGAAAUUAGAGUUUAAGCAAGACUUAAUAAUUAUGUUACGGAUAGAAGUUUUAUUUGCUUCUCGUGUUCUUAAGUGAACUCAGGUUCUUGCUUGGCAUUCCAACGAACCUUUCACUAUCGAGAUACGACUUUGCUUCUUUCGUUUGACUUCGCUGGUAUGAUAACCCUUCUUGCUCGAAUGUAUGUUGAAUGUUUUGUGGUUUGUGAGAGCAUGCCCUACAAUUAUUGUCUCCAGAUCUUCAGAGCAAUUACCACUGCUCAUGACUCAAGAUCACGUGUUGUAUAGUUAACUUCUUGCGUCUUAAGUUGUCUUGAGGUAUCGGCAAUGACCUUUCCUCUUGCUUAAGAAUACAACCAAGCCCUUGGUUGUAUGCAUCGCAUUACACCACAAAAUCUUAGCGUUUGGAACGCUCUUUCUUGUUUACAAACAAGUCCGGUGCUCCUCAGGGUGAGAGACUUGGCCUAGAGAAUCCUCUUCUGAGGAGUUCGUUAAGAUGUCUGGGAAGUUCUAGUCUCUUAGUUGGAGUUAGACGAUAAGGUGAUUUGCCUUUAGCCUUAGCCCAAAACCUUCGUUUGUUAUUCUUGGGCUUGGGAUUCGGGGUGUCGUGGUAGUUUGUUUCUUGUUGAGGUACUUGACUGUUACUUGGAUUGCAAGUAUUUUUAACAAUCCCGCUAACAUUCGCAUUAUUAGCGUUAAGGUGGGUCAGAACAGCUGACACGGCAGCCGAGACUGCAGCUUGAAAGGUAGCUGCAACAAUCUGAAGAGUUGGUGUUUGGUUGAUGGGUUGAUCGUUUUUCUUCGGUGACACGAUUCUGUUACACGGAAAGAAAAAUGAAUUUGUGAGCGGGUAUGAUUGAACCUAGAUGUAGUUCGAUCGUUCAUGUAAAGAAUAGAAGUAUGUUCUCGAAGGUUUGACCUACAUCCCUAUGAUGCAGUCCUAGUACGGAUUGGAAGUAUGUUCAUGAUGGUUUGACCUGUAUCCCUAUGAUGCAGUCCCAAUACAGAGUAGAAGUAUGUUUGUAGAAUGGUUUUAAGACGUUUUUCGUUCAAACCGAGGUAUCGUUGGUUGGUGAAUAACAUGAUCCAACCACUAAAAAGAGGCUUGGAAAUGUCUCCAGAGUUAAUUUACUAUAGUCCAAUGACUUGACUAAAGCAUGUUUCAGAUAGACUCCAAUGAAAGUAUGAUGAGAGUAUUUAAACAAGGAGUGACAUGGAAGUUAGCCGACUGUCGAUAUCAUUGUUGUUUAAGAUUUAAUAGGUUUGGGGAAAUUGACCUUAUUGUAGGUCUUACAUCAUAUUCGGAGUAGAAAAGUCUUCGACAGCAUAAAGACUUAAAUAAAAGUACUUACAUUACAAGGUAAUUACAUAGAAAGUACUACAUAGAACAUAGACAGGAACACAGUUCUUUAAAAAAAAGAAGGAAGUAAGGUAUCUCCUACUGGCGACGGUCACCCCUAUGGUGAACCCUUAGUUCGGUUAGUUGACGUUCCAUAUCAAACAAGUAUCUCUCGUACCCCUCUGGCGUACUUGGAGCUCUAUGACUUCGGCUUGGGUUUCAGCUAGUGCUUGAAGCAGGGUCUCAUGGUUUCUCUCAGAUCUCUCACUUGUGAUCAAGGCGAUUGGUGCGAAUGGUAUGCAUUCUUGCAUUGGUAUUAACCUCUUCUAUACGUUGGAGAGUUGUCCCGCCCAGAAUUUCUUUUCGGCAUUUCUACGGGUUAGGAUUGGUAGAACUCUGUCUGUUGAGCUCCCUUCUUUUAUAUUGUAGAAGCUUCGGUCUCCAUUAAACGGCACAGGUUGAUCUUGCUCUUCGCUCCAUGUUUCCAAGCAUUUUACCCAAGGAGGCGUCGGGCCAUGAAAAGCUGGACGAGGGUUAGGAUUUAGAAAUGGAGCUACAGGGGGUAGGUUCUCAAACUCUGGUUCAGAAUUAGCAUCGUCUGAAAGGUUCUCAUCACGGUGAUCAUUCAAAGGGAGAGGAUGAUCAUUCUCUGGUUCUUCUCCAAACCAACCGGCUAUGACUUCGUUCGGAAGAUACUGGUUGCCGAGGGGAUGGAGUCCAGCUAUGUUUUCUAUGCGAGAAUUUAGGGUAAGAGAAUAAUUAUUAGACGAACUAUCUAGAUAAUUAUUUAGAAAACCUUCAUUAGUUACAUCGCUAUUUGUGAAGUGCAUACCAGCUAUGUGUAAUUUAACAGGAUAGACCUUCGAAUAAGUGACCUUAACUCCGUAUUCACACAGAAUAGGGGUGAAGUAAAAUUUUCACAGAUUCUAAGUCUAUAACAUCCUAAUUACAUAUAGCCUUAGUGUAUCCACUUAGCAACUAUCAACUUAGUGAUGAAGAUCCCGUUUUAGUUCUCAAGUAUAAAGUACUUAUAGUAACACCAAAUACUCCUAUAGUAUUUUAAUUUUUAUGUUAUGUUCUAUUGCUCUCAUUGUGGUAGGGUUGGUAAGAUUUUAGCAUUGUUGCAACCACACAAUUAAACUUAGGCACAUGCUAGUCAACCCUCGGAUAAUAUAGGUGAUCAGGCUAUAUCUUCCCAGUUUUGACCAUAUGUCUCUAAGCCCACUUGUGUUGCCCAACAAUCGUAAUUCUUUUGUACUGUCCUAGUGACACUGAUUUUAGUAUGAAUGCAGGCACGUAUACUUACUUAAAUAUUUUAUUAUUUAAAGUAUAAACUCUAAAUCAGAGUAUUUUUAAUCCCAUUGUAUUUAUAGUUAGUAUAUCUUUUAUGGGUUGAUAUACUCAAUUCACUAUAAACAAUGCUCUGAUACCAAUCUGUCACACCCCAAAACCACGAACGGCGGAAACGUUCAGGGGUGGAGGACGUCAUGUACAGUAUCACAAUAGUGUAAUAUAAUAAACAAGCAACAACAUCAUCCAUUGCAUUAUAAGUAAAGUUUUAAUACAUGUGUGUUCUUUCAUUGUAGUAAGACACCAAAAAUAUAAAAUCAAAAUAAAAGACGAGACUUGUCUGCUCCGUCUUCUCAAAACCUGGCGUCCGUACCUGUCUACUGAUGACCUGAGAAUACAAGUUAUUUUGAAAGCGAGUAUCAGCUUUAAAGAUGGUGAAUUCAUAAGUAUAUAAGUGUCAUUGCCUUGUUUGUGAAAAGCUGUUAUGAAGGCCUUGUGGAUCGUUAAAUGAAAAUGUUGAUGUAAGUUAGAAAAACCCUAGAAAAUCCCUUAUUUCCUAUCAGUUUGAGAUGUAGUCUUCUACCAAGACCCGAAUGUUUUGUUUAUGAUAACGUAGUCUUCUACCAAGACCCGAAUGUUUUGUUUAUGACAAUGUAGUCUUCUACCAAGACCUGAAUGUUUUGUUUAUGACAAUGUAGUCUUCUACCAAGACCCGAAUGUUUUGUUUAUGACAAUGUAGUCUUCUACCAAGACCCGAAUGUUUUGUUUGUAAAAUGAUAGUUUUCCUUUAAUUGUUUAGUACUAAAGUACUUAGUCUACUCAUUGUUUAUGUGAAAAUAUCACAAAAUAAAGUAACAAGAAAAUGUACUACUGUAAGUGUCAUCCCGAUGUACUAGGGCUAACAUGCCAUCGCGUAAAGUGAAACGUAUAUCCUAUCACAAAAUAAGUAAAUAGGAAAAUUCACUAAGUUAAGUGUUAUCCUGAGGUACUGUGGGCUAACACGACAUAUGUAAAUGUUAUCCGGAGGUACUAGGAAUAACACGAAAUAUAUAACCAAAUGCACAUCCGAAGAUUGUUCAAUUAUCCUCUGUAGCUGCAACAGGGGGGAGGAAGGGUUAGUCCCGUAAANNNNNNNNNNNNNNNNNNNNNNNNNNNNNNNNNNNNNNNNNNNNNNNNNNNNNNNNNNNNNNNNNNNNNNNNNNNNNNNNNNNNNNNNNNNNNNNNNNNNUUAGGGUUUCCUUGUUAUAUAACCCUAAUUGCCUCACUAUAUAUAUAAGACCCUUAUGACCCAAAAACGUGGCUAAUACUUCUCUAGGGUUUGUAGACGGUUUUGGGCAGCCUCCAUCCUCUCUCCUCUUCAUCCUCUUGCUUAUGGUGUUUGUGAACCAUUAGAGGAGUGACAUUUGUGACUCUCACCUUUCUAAGGUCAAUACAAGGAGAUUUGGUAUUGUUAUUGCUACAUAACAAUCAAGGUAACAUCUUAAACCUAUUCUCAUAUUAAUAUGAUUACUUGAAUGCUAGAAUUAGGGUUUAUAGUCUUGGAUAACUUGCAUGUACAAUAGAGAAACCUAGAUCCAAGCAUUAGGGUUUGUAUAAGCACAUAGGAUGUUCUUAUGACCAAAAACCAUCAGUAGGGCUACCAACUCAUUGAGUAGGUCUUAAAACCAAAUAAACUUUC
rnacentral:lncRNA from 1 species